rnacentral:rRNA from 1 species
UACAGAGGUCUCGAGCGUUAGGCGGAAUCACUGGGCUUAAAGCGUGUGUAGGCGGAUUGCUAAGUACCUUGUGAAAUCCCACGGCUUAACCGUGGAACUGCUUGGUAUACUGGCUGUCUUGAGCCACUUAGGGGCAACCGGAACAAACGGUGGAGCGGUGAAAUGCGUAGAUAUCGGGAGGAACACCAGUGGCGAAGGCGACUUCCUGGCCUGUUCUUGACGCUGAGGCGCGAAAGCUAGGGGAGCAAACGGG